rnacentral:rRNA from 1 species
GAUGAACGCUGGCGGCGUGCCUAAUACAUGCAAGUCGAGCGAACAGACGAGGAGCUUGCUCCUCUGACGUUAGCGGCGGACGGGUGAGUAACACGUGGAUAACCUACCUAUAAGACUGGGAUAACUUCGGGAAACCGGAGAUAAUACCGGAUAAUAUAUUGAACCGCAUGGUUCAAUAGUGCAAGACGGAUUUGCUGUCACUUAUAGAUGGAUCCGCGCCGGAUUAGCUAGUUGGUAAGGUAACGGCUUACCAAGGCAACGAUGCGUAGCCGACCUGAGAGGGUGAUCAGCCACACUGGAACUGAGACACGGUCCAGACUCCUACGGGAGGCAGCAGUAGGGAAUCUUCCGCAAUGGGCGAAAGCCUGACGGAGCAACGCCGCGUGAGUGAUGAAGGUCUUCGGAUCGUAAAGCUCUGUUAUUAGGGAAGAACAAAUGUAUAAGUAACUAUGCACGUCUUGACGGUACCUAAACAGAAAGCCACGGCUAACUACGUG